GUGGAACAGCUGGAAUUUCUUCGCCUGCAACAUCAACGACACGCUCAUCCGCGAGACAGCUGAUGCGUUGGUCUCGACGGGCCUGGCUGAUUUGGGAUACAACUACGUAAACAUCGGUACAUUACUUAGCUUCACACCAGUAAAUGUUGUUGGGCUACAUGAAGUAUUUUGUGUGUUGUCUCUAACCCAUAUUGGUCCUUACUUUUCAGAUGACUGUUGGUCAUAUGUGAAACGAGGAAAUAAGGGUCAAUUGCUACCUGAUCCGAAGACUUUCCCUUCUGGAAUCAAAUCGCUUGCGGACUAUGUGCAUGGAAAAGGUCUAAAACUUGGUAUCUACUCUGACGCUGGGGUAUCUACUUGUCAAGUUCGACCAGGAUCACUCCAUCACGAGAAAGAUGAUGCUGCCCUUUUUGCUUCAUGGGGUGUUGACUAUCUAAAGUACGACAACUGUUACAAUCUGGGAAUACCGCCAAAGGAAAGGUAUCCUCCAAUGCGUGAUGCUCUAAAUUCAACUGGGCACCAGAUAUUCUACUCUCUAUGUGAAUGGGGCCAGGAUGAUCCAGCUUUAUGGGCUGGAAAAGUUGGAAACAGUUGGCGUACAACAGAUGACAUACAGGAUACAUGGAAAAGCAUGACUGACAUUGCUGAUAAGAACAACAAGUGGGCAUCAUAUGCUGGACCCGGUGGAUGGAAUGACCCGGACAUGUUGGAAGUUGGAAAUGGUGGUAUGACCUUUGCAGAGUACCGUGCACAUUUCAGCAUUUGGGCACUCAUGAAGGCGCCUCUCUUAAUUGGUUGUGAUGUCAGAAAUAUGACUUCAGAAACAAUUGAAAUAUUGAGCAACAAAGAAGUAAUUCAAGUAAACCAAGAUCCUCUUGGAGUUCAAGGAAGAAGAAUUUUGGGUCAAGGAAAGGGUGGAUGCCGUGAGGUGUGGGCUGGCCCCCUCUCUGGCAACCGUUUGGCUGUUGCUUUAUGGAAUCGUUGUUCGGAGACGGUUAAUAUCACAAUGUCAUUGCCAGCUGUAGGCCUUGAUGGUUCAUCUGCCUAUUCUGUUAGAGACCUGUGGAAGGUUAAAUUGGGAGUAUGAUCCAAGGACGGAACACUAUCUUAGUUCAGACAGCUCAAGCUAAUCUGGGAGAACAGAAACAAAAAAUGUGACCAUUGACUUUUCUUAACCGGUGUUCUAAGUUGGGAGCACAUGGACAACACAGAAUAGCCAUGUGUUCUAAGUUCAACCAAACACAGCCUAAGCAUGACUACCUGGCUUUUCUCACCCGGUGUUUUAAGUUGGGAGCACAUGCUCAACCAAACACAUGCUCAUCCAGGGUGCAGAAUAAGUUAUUCUUCACCCGAGCAUGAGACUCUAUCGGCUAACGUGGUAGGAACUUUUGGAGCCCAAGUCGAUGUGCACGACUGCAAGAUGUACAUUUUCACACCCGCCGUCAGUUUUUCUGCAAGUUGGUGAGAGAAAAAGGUGAAAGCCACGCCACGCACUAUAUCAGCAUGCCUGGAAACAAACUUUGGUCAAUUAUCAUCCAGCAGCAUCCUUAGCCACACGGUGUGUGUGUAUAUAUAUAUAUCAGCCUGUUUUGGACAAAUACUCUAUCAAUCAUAUAUCCAGCAUGAUGCGUAAAAUUUACUCCCAAUUUGUACAUCUCUUUCCGGGAGGCUACAUCUCUUUCCGGGAGGCUCUAUAUCAUGCCAGUGGACCAUGAACAAUAAGUAAAUCAUCAGUUAUUGAAGGGGAAAUAUAUAUGACAUAUGAUGUUUUGUCAUUA